GAUGAACGCUAGCGGCAGGCUUAAUACAUGCAAGUCGAGGGGCAGCAGGACUGUAGCAAUACAGUUGCUGGCGACCGGCAAACGGGUGCGGAACACGUACGCAAUCUACCCAGAACUGAUGAAUAGCCCUCCGAAAGGAGGAUUAAUACAUCGUAACAUAAUGAAGUGGCAUCACUCUAUUAUUAUAGCUCCGGCGGUUUUGGAUGAGCGUGCGCCUGAUUAGGUAGUUGGCGGGUAACGGCCCACCAAGCCUUCGAUCAGUAACUGGUGUGAGAGCACGACCA
rnacentral:rRNA from 1 species